rnacentral:rRNA from 1 species
GGCUCAUUAAACAGUUAUAGUUUAUUUGAUAAUCGAAUUUACAUGGAUAACCGUGGUAAUUCUAGAGCUAAUACAUGCUGGUUAGCCUGACUUCGAGGAAGGGCUGUAUUUAUUAGAUAACAAACCAAUAUUCCCCGUGUCUAUUGUGAUGACUCAUAAUAACUGAUCGAAUCGCAUGGACCUUGUCCGCGAUACAUCAUUCAAGUUUCUGCCCCAUCAGCUUUCGAUGGUAGUGUAUUGGACUACCAUGGCUUUAACGGGUAACGGAGGAUUAGGGUUCGAUUCCGGAGAGGGAGCCUGAGAAACGGCUACCACAUCUAAGGAAGGCAGCAGGCGCGUAAAUUACCCAAUCCUGACUCAGGGAGGUAGUGACAAGAAAUAACGGACCGAGGCUCAUGCUUCGGGAUUGCAAUGAGUAGAAUUUAAACCCCUUUACGAGGAUCAAUUGGAGGGCAAGUCUGGUGCCAGCAGCCGCGGUAAUUCCAGCU